rnacentral:rRNA from 1 species
GCGCAGCAGGCGAGAAUUCUUCUCAAUGGGCGAAAGCCUGAAGGAGCGACGCCGCGUGGAGGAUGAAGGCUUUCGGGUUGUAAACUCCUGUCAUUUGAGAACAAGUGCCAACAAGUAACUACUGUUGGCUUGAUAGUAUCAGAAGAGGAAGGGACGGCUAACUCUGUGCCAGCAGCCGCGGUAAUACAGAGGUCCCAAGCGUUGUUCGGAUUCAUUGGGCGUAAAGGGUGCGUAGGUGGCGCCGUAAGUGGGGUGUGAAAUUUCGGAGCUUAACUCCGAAACUGCAUUCCAUACUGCGGUGCUUGAGGACUGGAGAGGAGACUGGAAUUCAUGGUGUAGCAGUGAAAUGCGUAGAGAUCAUGAGGAAGACCGAGUGGCGAAGGCGGGUCUCUGGACAGUUCCUGACACUGAGGCACGAAGGCUAGGGGAGCGAACGGGAUUAGAUACCCGCGUAGU